rnacentral:rRNA from 1 species
GAUGAACGCUGGCGGCGUGCCUAAUACAUGCAAGUCGAGCGAACAGAUGAGGAGCUUGCUCCUCUGACGUUAGCGGCGGACGGGUGAGUAACACGUGGAUAACCUACCUAUAAGACUGGGAUAACUUCGGGAAACCGGAGCUAAUACCGGAUAAUAUAUUGAACCGCAUUGUUCAAUAGUGAAAGACGGUUUUGCUGUCACUUAUAGAUGGAUCCGCGCCGCAUUAGCUAGUUGGUAAGGUAACGGCUUACCAAGGCAACGAUGCGUAGCCGACCUGAGAGGGUGAUCGGCCACACUGGAACUGAGACACGGUCCAGACUCCUACGGGAGGCAGCAGUAGGGAAUCUUCCGCAAAGGGCGAAAGCCUGACGGAGCAACGCCGCGUGAGUGAUGAAGGUCUUCGGAUCGUAAAACUCUGUUAUUAGGGAAGAACAAAUGUGUAAGUAACUAUGCACGUCUUGACGGUACCUAAUCAGAAAGCCACGGCUAACUACGUG